UUAAAUGAUGAUCAAGGGCCCAAGGCCCGACUAUUUAAACCCAGCUCUUCGAAUGCCAAAGGCAUACUGAGACAAAAAACCGUUCUGAUU
rfam:Colletotrichum gloeosporioides Nara gc5 unplaced genomic scaffold scaffold545, whole genome shotgun sequence.